AAAAAAAAACCAUACACUGAACGACGAAUAAACUUGAUAUAUGUAUGAUAAAAUGUAAUUUAAUGACUGUUUUGUCUAGUGGGAAUGCACAUUGCGUUACGACGUUUCUUGGUAAUAAUACACCCAACAUUCAUGUAUUAAGUUAUGAUGUAUCAUAUGUAAUUACAGUUGUUUAUUAACCAACUAAGUACAUUAUAGCCAAAAAUGACUGUUUAUUAAAAAUUACAUAUUUUCUGUAAUGGCCCUGUUUUUUUCUGUAAUGGCC
rnacentral:lncRNA from 1 species